rnacentral:rRNA from 1 species
UACGAAGGGGGCUAGCGUUGUUCGGAUUUACUGGGCGUAAAGCGCACGUAGGCGGAUCUUUAAGUCAGAGGUGAAAUCCCAAGGCUCAACCUUGGAACUGCCUUUGAUACUGGGGAUCUCGAGUGCGGGAGAGGCAAGUGGAAUGGUCGGUGUAGCGGUGAAAUGCGUAGAUAUCGAUCGGAACACCCGUGGCGAAGGCGGCUUGCUGGCUCGCAACUGACGCUGAGGCGCGAAAGCGUGGGGAGCAAACAGG